rnacentral:rRNA from 1 species
UACGGAGGGUGCAAACGUUGCUCGGAAUUAUUGGGCGUAAAGCGCAUGUAGGCGGCCGAGUAAGUCGGGUGUGAAAGCCCAGGGCUUAACCCUGGAAGUGCACUCGAAACUGCUCGGCUUGAAUAUGGAAGAGGGUCGCGGAAUUCCCGGUGUAGAGGUGAAAUUCGUAGAUAUCGGGAGGAACACCAGUGGCGAAGGCGGCGACCUGGGCCAAUAUUGACGCUGAGAUGCGAAAGCGUGGGGAGCAAACAGG